rnacentral:rRNA from 1 species
UACAUGGGGUGCAAACGUUUGCUCGGAAUUAUUGGGCGUAAAGCGCGCGUAGGCGGUUACUUAAGUCGGAUGUGAAAAGCCCUCGGCUUAACUGAGGAAGUGCAUCCGAAACUGAGUAGCUAGAGUACGAAAGAGGGUCGCGGAAUUCCCGGUGUAGAGGUGAAAUUCGUAGAUAUCGGGAGGAACACCGGUAGCGAAGGCGGCGACCUGGGUCGAGACUGACGCUGAGGAGCGAAAGCCAGGGGAGCAAACGGG